CAAUUGUACCUAUCACUAAUUCGAUAUUGCUAUUUAUUGAUAUAAGUUUGAUUUGAUAAAAUUUUUAUAUUCUUUAUUAUUUGAAUUUGGCCCACCUUUCUAGAUUUUUCCUAGGGGGUUCAGCUGGGGUUUUAUUUGUUGUUGGCCGUGAAAGCUGAAAAGGAAGCCCUAAUUUCAGCUCUGAUAAGUGUUUUGGGUAAUUUCUGCGUAGAAUGGCGAAGGAUCUACACACAUCGACGCAACCAUGGAUCCUCGAUACGGUUCCUUUAAUAGUGGUUAUUCUAAUCGGAGCUCACGUCGUCGCCCUGGUGUAUUGGAUUUAUAGAUUAGCCACUCAGAAGCAGCCUCAGCAGAGGAGAAAGACUCACUGAACAACAAGGUCGCUGAACCCUAAUUAUUUAGAUAGCUAGAUUAGUAUUGUUGCCUUGCUCCAUAGACACUGUAGAUUACACAGAAAUUUAAUGUUGCUUAGGAAUUUAUGCUGAUGCCAUGUAUUGGACGCCAAGUUCGAAAUUAAGCAAAUUUAGUAUUGGUCUCUUAUA